AGUUUGAUCCUGGCUCAGAACGAACGCUGGCGGCAGGCUUAACACAUGCAAGUCGAACGCCCCGCAAGGGGAGUGGCAGACGGGUGAGUAACGCGUGGGAAUCUACCGUGCCCUGCGGAAUAGCUCCGGGAAACUGGAAUUAAUACCGCAUACGCCCUACGGGGGAAAGAUUUAUCGGGGUAUGAUGAGCCCGCGUUGGAUUAGCUAGUUGGUGGGGUAAAGGCCUACCAAGGCGACGAUCCAUAGCUGGUCUGAGAGGAUGAUCAGCCACAUUGGGACUGAGACACGGCCCAAACUCCUACGGGAGGCAGCAGUGGGGAAUAUUGGACAAUGGGCGCAAGCCUGAUCCAGCCAUGCCGCGUGAGUGAUGAAGGCCUUAGGGUUGUAAAGCUCUUUCACCGGUGAAGAUAAUGACGGUAACCGGAGAAGAAGCCCCGGCUAACUUCGUGCCAGCAGCCGCGGUAA
rnacentral:rRNA from 1 species